rnacentral:misc_RNA from 1 species
UUGUUCGAAUCCCGCAGAGGGGAGACCCGCGAAUCCGUUCAAAAAGACGGGGAGGCGGGGCGCGGGUUUCGUUCCGCUCUCGCUAUCCCCGCAUCGACGGCCGGGGGACCCUCCGGACGCCGACUAACAAGCGCGGGACGCGCCAAGGACCCCUCAAAACGGACGCCUCGCCCGGGCUUUGCACCCUCCGGGGUGCCAGGCCUCGGGAGCGGGGGGCGCCGGUUAUAUCUAAGAUGACUCUCGGCAACGGAUAUCUAGGCUCUCGCAUCGAUGAAGAACGUAGCAAACUGCGACGCUUGGUGUGAAUUGCAGAAUCCCGUGAACCAUCGAGUCUUUGAACGCAAGUUGCGCCCGAAGCCGUUGGGCCGAGGGCACGUCUGCCCGGGCGUCACGUCACGCAUGGCGUCGCCCUCCCCUCUCCCCUCUGCCUCGCUGGGGCACGGCGGGAUUGCGGGAGGGCGGAGACUGGCCUCCCGCUCCCCGCGAGCGGCCUGCCGAAACGCAAAUCCGCCGCCGCCGUGCGGUGCGGCCAUAGGUAGCACUCAACCACGUCGAGAACGCAGGUCGCGCGACGCGGCGGCU